GCUGGCUCCGCCUCCGCUACCUGGCAGCUACUAGCAUUAUCUGUGGCUGCUCUUGCCUGGGAGUCGUGGCCCUUGUGUUUGCCAUCAAGUGGAGAUCUGCUCUCAAGGCCUACAUGGAAGAUGGAUUGGAAGGGGCAGGACUCGAGGCAGUUGAGCAGCGAUUAGAGUGAUCUGUAGCAGUCGGGAAGAAGCUGUGGAGUCUUUGAGAGGCCUUCACCAUUUCCAAACACCUAACCAAAACUGCACGUGUACCUUUUGAAAGACCACACGGGCCAACUUAAACAUCAUGCUGGAAUUUUUCUCAAUCCUAGUUGUAUUUUAACAAUCAGAAACUAUUCUUAUCAUCAUGAGAAUUUCUGGGCUUCAUUAGGUCAAAAUCAGAAUCCUUAAUAACGAGAGAGAUGAGGCCCAUUGGGCUAAUGAGAAUGGAGUGCUGUUUGACUGGACGGGAGGCUGAAUACUCCAAGGUAGUUCACUGUGUCUUGCCAAGGGUUCCAAAUUCUGAAUGAACCUGGAAUGAAUGGAAUAAGAUUAGGAACAAAAGGAGUGAAAAGUACUUUCCCAUAUGUGAUCUUGUGAGCUAACAAUGGCUACACAGAGCAGAAAGCUACACAGAGCAGAGUGGGCACCUUACUUUGCAGAUGAGGCAUGAGAGACAGACAUUGGAAAGGGAGGUGGGGGGUUUGGACGUCAGGUUUUGAGCCGUGACAAGGACGGAGGAUUGGUGUGGGGCAGUGGGCACUUUGGGCAGAAGCAGGAGGAGAACCUAACCAAAAACCUGCCCCCACAGGCGGAAGAGCGGCAUAAGGCAGGCCGGUUCGAGGAGGCAGUGCACUGGGGGGCCCGGGCCCGGAACUUCAUCCUGGCCAGCUUUGCCGUC